rnacentral:rRNA from 1 species
UACGUAGGGGGCAAGCGUUAUCCGGAUUUACUGGGUGUAAAGGGAGCGUAGACGGCGGAACAAGUCAGAAGUGAAAACCCGGGGCUCAACCCCGGGACUGCAUUGGAAACUGUCGCGCUCGAGUGUCGGAGAGGUAAGUGGAAUUCCUAGUGUAGCGGUGAAAUGCGUAGAUAUUAGGAGGAACACCAGUGGCGAAGGCGGCUUACUGGACGACAACUGACGCUGAGGCUCGAAAGCGUGGGGAGCAAACAGG